rnacentral:ncRNA from 1 species
GAGCAACUUAGGAUUUUAGGCUCCGCCGCAGCCUUUGCGGCGCAAACCGAUGGCAGGCUGGCGGUCUGCCGUACGGUCAAAAUCUAUCCGCCGGAG